GGGCGGGUGGCGAAAUUGGUAGACGCAUCAGACUCAAAAUCUGACACCUUACGGUAUGAGAGUUCGAUUCUCUCCCUGCCCA
rnacentral:tRNA from 3 species